rnacentral:rRNA from 1 species
AUGAAAGAGAAGGGCUUUCGCGAAGAAGGGAACGGGAAAGGGAGUAGGGGCAUGGCCUGGUGGUCGACGGUGCUAGCAAUGGCGUGCUCCGGCGAGGAACUUGGCCGGUGA